GUUCUUAACCACUGUAUAAUGGCAAUGGCGCCCACCUGAGAGGUGCUGCAACUGAGUUCUGAUGAGCUCUGGCUGAAAAAAGCUGUGGUGAUACACAUCCUGCUUCUUUGUCUCGGUUAUACAUGCCAGCCUGGCACAUUCUUUCUGAAUUAUGUCCCAGAUGCUCAACACCUUCCCAUUGGCCACCACUGCAUUCAGAAGAAACAUCUUAGGAUCUGAGGGGACCAUAUUUCAGCCCCAAAUGUUAUCAAAGUUGGAAGACGGUCUGGAAGGAGAGACAAGAUGCAUGUCUGCCUUGCCAUGCAUCUACUUGCUGUGUUUGUCUCCCACCCACCCAUAGUACCUUCUGCCCCCUAUGCAACCCCUAUAACGGCUCCUCUUCAAUUGGUUUAGAUCUUCCCUGUUUUUUGAGAACUCUGCCUGCAAAGACUACAGACGUUUUCCAAUCGCCAUCACUGCAGGCAGAAAAGAGGACUUCAUUUUCCAGAAGCCCAAAGUGAGCAAAUCUUUUUACUGAGAUUUCUUGAGCUCUCCUUGCCAGUAUAAUGGCAGCUGCUGUGCAUUAAGAGUACCGAAUAAGAGGAAACAUUGAUCUAAUCUGAGCGCUGCUUAAGCUUUCACUACUGGCAGGUAGAGCCACCUGUGGGUCGGCACACUUGCACAGCUUGAAAUCUUUAUUGCUCUGCCAUUUGUAACGGGGCUGAGCAUUUUAAGCGUUUAAUCACUGAUAUGCGGUUGGCAAAUGGAGCAGCCAGCUUUUGAUGGCUCGUUUUGCAUGCUUUCAGUGCUUUUGGCGUUGCCGUCUCCGACUUCUAUUCAGACCCAUUUUGGGGACCUCUGUUCUAAAAUGAAAAGUGACAUCAAACUGUUAAGUGUUUCACUCCAGCCUUGAGACAGAGAGAGAGAUAGUCCUGCCAAUGAAGCCCUUGUGGCUGUCAGUGGAACCCAGGCUCAGUUGAUGGAGGGAAGGCUGCCUGCUCAGCAGUAUCUGCUGUGACUUUUCCCCUUUUGGCAGAAGCAGAUUCACACUAGCCAGCUUAAAUUUAUUGGUAGUUGCUAUGUUGCAGGGUGGUAAUGCUCUCCAGUGGGUAUUUGAGGGUCAGAUUGUCCUUAAUGCUGCCUGAAAAGUGCUGAAGAGUUCUAGAGAUUUAGGGUGGUGGAGGGGUAAAGCAGAGCAGCAAGUGUGCUUUUUAAAAAACAAAGCUUUUAACUUAAAAAGAAAACUCUCCUCUGCUCUGCUGUAUCAACAACAUAAACCAUUCAGAGCUCUUAAGUGUUCUGCAGGUAAUAUAUAUAUAGGGUCGUGGGUGGUGCUGUGGUUUAAACCACUGAGCCUCUUGGGCUUGCCGGUCAGAAGGUCAGCUGUUCAAAUCCCCACAUUGGGGUGUGCUCCCGUUGCUCUGUCCCAGCUCCUGCCAACCUAGCAGUUUGAAAGCAUGCCAGUGCAAGUAGAUAAAUAGGUACCGCUGCCGCGGAAAGGUAAACGGCGUUUCUGUGCGCUCUGGCUUCCGUCACGGUGUCCUGUUGCGCCAGAAGUGAUUUAGUCAUGCUGGCCACAUGACCCAGAAAGCUGUCUGUGGACAAACACCAGCUCCCUCGGCCUGAAAGCAAAAUGAGCCCCGCAACCCCAUAGUCGCCUAUGACUGGACUUUACCUUCCAGAGUUCCUUUACUUUUACCUUUACCUAAUAUAUAUAGACAGCCUCAAUACCUGAAAAACCCAUGGACCUGAGACCUGGACAGCAGGGGAACAUUUGGCCCCAUCUGGAAUCCUAAGCAUAUUCAUUUAUUUUAAAGUGUGUAGCUACAAAUACACCCAUACACCCCAAUAUACCUUCCAAGUGCCCCAGGAAAAAAAUGGGACAUCUCGGUGGUCAUUUUGGGUGCCGUGCUCUCAUGCUGGGUCUCCCCACCCCCCAGGCCCGUGCUUUUUUCUGGGUGAAAGCAAGGUGCGUUGGGCUAGAGAUUUUGGAUAUAAUAUACAAUUUGAUGAUUGGGAAAAACUAUGGAAGGAAAACUUAAGAUUUACUGCUUGUACAGCGUUAAAAGAAAAUGUCAUGAAAAUGUUUUACAGAUGGUAUAUCACACCGGUAAAAUUAGCAAAAAUGUAUAAGACCUGUAAUAAGUGCUGGAAAUGUAAAGAAAAAGAAAGAACGUUUUAUCAUAUGUGGUGGGAGUGUAAGAAAGUGAAGGGCUUCUGGGAGAUGAUAUAUAACGAGAUGAAAAAAAUGUUGAAGUAUACAUUUGUUAAGAAACCAGAAGCCCUACUUUUAGGGAUUACAGGAAAGGAAAUAAGAAGGAAGGAUUACAAACUUUUUCAAUACGCAGUUACAGCAGCAAGAAUUCUACUGGCCCAGAAGUGGAAACAAGAGGAAAUACCGACGAAAGAAGAAUGGAGGAUGAAAUUAACAGACUAUGCAGAACUGGACAAGUUAACAGGGAAAGUUAGAUAUCUUCAAGACCAUAAGUUCAUCGAGGACUGGGGGAAAUUCAUGGAAUAUCUGAAAAGUACAUGUGAAGUACAAACAACGCUAGUGGGGUUUAAAGAAGCACUGUAAAAACUGAGGUAUAUUGUUAAAAGAAAAUGGAUGGUUGGAGGGGGGACUAAUGGCAAUAUAGAACAGAAG
rnacentral:lncRNA from 1 species